UGGGGAAUCUUGCACAAUGGGGGCAACCCUGAUGCAGCGACGCCGCGUGAGCGAUGAAGCCCUUCGGGGCGUAAAGCUCUUUCGACCGGAACGAUAAUGACGGUACCGGGAGAAGAAGCUGCGGCUAACUACGUGCCAGCAGCCGCGGUAAUACGUAGGCAGCAAGCGUUGUUCGGAGUUACUGGGCGUAAGGAGUGCGUAGGCGGUUUUCUAAGUUCGGUGUGAAAUCUCCCGGCUUAACUGGGAGGGUGCGCCGAAGACUGGGAAGCUGGAGUGUGGGAAAGGCAGGCGGAAUUCCUGGUGUAGCGGUGAAAUGCGUAGAUAUCAGGAGGAACACCGGCGGUGUAGACGGCUUGCUAGACCAUAACUGACGCUGAGGCACGAAAGCGUGGGUAGCAAAC
rnacentral:rRNA from 1 species